GAAUAUAACGUACAAAUAAUUUGCUCUUUAGUUUGCAGGCUAAAAGCAUUUCUUUCUAACCAUCUUAGGUGGUCUGCGUU
rfam:Prochlorococcus marinus MED4 complete genome.